rnacentral:rRNA from 1 species
ACACAUGCAAGUCGAGGGGCAGCGCGGGAUAGCAAUAUUCUGGCGGCGACCGGCGGAAGGGUGCGUAACGCGUGAGCGACAUGCCCGUUGCCCGGGGACAACCGGUGGAAACGCCGACUAAUCCCCGAUGGGAUACGAUGCUGCAUGGCAUUGUAUUGAAAGUUACGGCGGCGACGGAUUGGCUCGCGUCCGAUUAGCUUGUUGGCGGGGUAACGGCCCACCAAGGCUACGAUCGGUAGGGGUUCUGAGAGGAAGGCCCCCCACAAUGGGACUGAGACACGGCCCAUACUCCUACGGGAGGCAGCAGUGAGGAAUAUUGGUCAAUGGGCGGAAGCCUGAACCAGCCAUGCCGCGUGCGGGAAGGAGGCCCUAUGGGCUGUGAACCGCUUUUGCCUGGGGGCAAUAAGGGCGUCGCGCACGUCCGAUGAGAGUACCAGGCGAAUAAGCAUCGGCUAACUCCGUGCCAGCAGCCGCGGUAAUACGGGGGAUGCGAGCGUUAUCCGGAUUCAUUGGGUUUAAAGGGUGCGUAGGCUGUGCGUCAAGUCGGGGGUGAAAUUCCGGUGCUCAACACCGGGGCUGCCCUUGAUACUGUCGCGCUGGAGUGCGGAUGCCGCCGGAGGAAUGAGUGGUGUAGCGGUGAAAUGCUUAGAUAUCACUCAGAACACCGAUUGCGAAGGCAUCUGGCGAAUCCGUAACUGACGCUGAGGCACGAAAGCGUGGGGAUAGAACAGGAUUAGAUACCCUGGUAUUCCACGCCGUAAACGAUGAUGGCUAACCGCCGGCGACACACUGUCGGUGGCCAAGCGAAAGCGAUAAGCCAUCCACCUGGGGAGUACGUCGGCAACGAUGAAACUCAA